AGAGAAGGGAUGAGGAAAAACAGACAGAAAGAUAGGAAAAAAAGUUUUCUUUAUAUGGACAAUCCGUUUCUUCUCUCUCCUUUCUUUUUGUUU
rnacentral:ribozyme from 13 species